CAAGAUGUCUUCUACAAAUUCAUGGAUGGGAAUCGGCAGACCCAGCUUGACGGCGUCGACAGGCUGACGGAAAGGCCAAGCGAACUGGUGCUUCCACAGGGCUUUCAUCACCACUUUGUGCAGGUACUGCAGCUGGUUGGUGACCCGGCCGGGCUUUUUGGGGUUCGAGACCUCUGGCGGAGGGGGGUUCGCCUGGGGGGUCUGUAGGGCCGGCACCGAGGCCAUGGUGGGGCUCUCGAAGCCCUCGUAAAGCAGCGAGGGUUUGCGGAUGCGUUUGCCCGGGGUCGAUUCCGUCGCCAAACCCAUAAGCCCGGCAUUUCCCUCCCCCAGAAUCUUGCUCUGGGGAUUCACAUUCUGCAGCAUGCCGGCGGCUGCGUGCCCGGCCCUGGCUCCCGGCCUUCCUCCUCCACCUCCUCCUCCCGCCGCCGCCUCCUCCGACGUCCCCCCCACUUUGCCCACCGAGCA
rnacentral:lncRNA from 1 species